rnacentral:rRNA from 1 species
UAGUUUGAUCCUGGCUCAGAACGAACGCUGGCGGCAGGCCUAACACAUGCAAGUCGAGCGAAGCCUUCGGGCUUAGCGGCGGACGGGUUAGUAACGCGUGGGAACGUGCCCUUCACUACGGAAUAGUCCUGGGAAACUGGGUUUAAUACCGUAUACGCCCUUCGGGGGAAAGAAUUUCGGUGAAGGAUCGGCCCGCGUUAGAUUAGGUAGUUGGUGGGGUAAUGGCCUACCAAGCCGACGAUCUAUAGCUGGCUUUAGAGGAUGAUCAGCAACACUGGGACUGAGACACGGCUCAGGAUUUUCCUAUCGGGAGGCAGCAGUGGGGAAUCUCUGACCAAUGGGGGCAACCCUGAUCCAGCCAUGCCCGCUGAGUUAUGAAGCCCAUAGGGUUCGUAAAGCUCUUUUCGCCUGUGAUGAUAAAUGACAAGUAGCAGGUAAAAGAAACCCCGGCUAACUUCCGUGCCAAGCAGCCGCGGUAUAACGGAAGGGGUUUAGCGUUUGUUUCGGAAUUACUGGGCGUAAAGCGCGCGUAGGCGGACUAUUAAGUCAGGGGUGAAAUCCCGGGGCUCAACCCCGGAACUGCCCUUGAUACUGGUAGUCUUGAAGUUCGAAGAGAGGUGAGUGGAAUUUCCGAGUGUAGAGGUGAAAUUCGUAGAUAUUCGGAGGAACACCAGUGGCGAAAGGCGGCUCACUGGCUCGAUACUGACGCUGAGGUGCGAAAGUGUGGGGGAGCAAACAGGAUUAGAUACACUGGUAGUCCACACCGUAAACGAUGAAUGCCAGUCGUCUGGGCAGUAUACUGUUCGGUGACACACCUAACGGAUUAAAGCAUUCCGCCUGGGGAGUACGGCCGCAAGGUUAAAACUCAAAGGAAAUUGACGGGGGCUCCGCACAAGCGGUGGAGCAUGUGUUUUUAUUCGAAGCAACGCGCAUAACCUUUCCAACCCUUGACAUCCUUGUGCUACAUCCCAGAUAUGGAUGGUUCCCUUCGGGGACGCAGUGACAGGUGCUGCAUGGCUGUCGUCAGCUCGUGUCGUGAGAUGUUCGGUUAAGUCCGGCAACGAGCGCAACCCACGUCCUUAGUUGCCAGCAGUUCGGCUGGGCACUCUAAGGAAACUGCCCGUGAUAAGCGGGAGGAAGGUGUGGAUGACGUCGAGUCCUCAUGGCCCUUACGGGUUGGGCUACACACGUGCUACAAUGGUAGUGACAAUGGGUUAAUCCCAAAAAGCUAUCUCAGUUCGGAUUGUCGUCUGCAACUCGACGGCAUGAAGUCGGAAUCGCUAGUAAUCGCGUAACAGCAUGACGCGGUGAAUACGUUCCCGGGCCUUGUACACACCGCCCGUCACACCAUGGGAGUUGGGUCUACCCGAAGACGGUGCGCCAACCUGUUCGCAGGGGGCAGCUGGCCACGGUAGGCUCAGCGACUGGGGUGAAGUCGUAACAAGGUAGCCGU